rnacentral:rRNA from 1 species
GCUGAAGCCGGGUGCUUGCACCUGGUGGAUGAGUGGCGAACGGGUGAGUAAUACGUGAGUGACCUUCCUUGGACUCUGGGAUAAGCCCGGGAAACUGGGUCUAAUACCGGAUACGACCAGUCCUCGCAUGGGGUGCUGGUGGAAAGGGUUUGUACUGGUUCUUGAUGGGCUCACGUCCUAUCAGCUUGUUGGUGAGGUAAUGGCUUACCAAGGCGACGACGGGUAGCCGGCCUGAGAGGGUGACCGGCCACACUGGGACUGAGACACGGCCCAGACUCCUACGGGAGGCAGCAGUGGGGAAUAUUGCACAAUGGGCGCAAGCCUGAUGCAGCGACGCCGCGUGGGGGAUGACGGCCUUCGGGUUGUAAACCUCUUUCAGCAGGGAAGAAGCGAAAGUGACGGUACCUGCAGAAGAAGCGCCGGCUAACUACGUGCCAGCAGCCGCGGUAAUACGUAGGGCGCAAGCGUUGUCCGGAAUUAUUGGGCGUAAAGAGCUCGUAGGCGGUUUGUCGCGUCUGCUGUGAAAGCCCGGGGCUCAACCCCGGGUGUGCAGUGGGUACGGGCAGGCUGGAGUGCAGUAGGGGAGACCGGAAUUCCUGGUGUAGCGGUGAAAUGCGCAGAUAUCAGGAGGAACACCGAUGGCGAAGGCAGGUCUCUGGGCUGUUACUGACGCUGAGGAGCGAAAGCAUGGGGAGCGAACAGGAUUAGAUACCCUGGUAGUCCAUGCCGUAAACGUUGGGCACUAGGUGUGGGGGACAUUCCACGUUUUCCGCGCCGUAGCUAACGCAUUAAGUGCCCCGCCUGGGGAGUACGGCCGCAAGGCUAAAACUCAAAGGAAUUGACGG